UAGCAUAUAUUAAAGUUGUUGCAGUUAAAAAGCUCGUAGUUGGAUCUUAGGUUCUGAUCGGACUGAGCACAGACCUCGGUUUGUCUCUUCUGGUCGUCCUAAAUAGUUGGCGAUUCAUUUUGUGCUCUUUACUGAGUGUGAUUUGAGCCCAACGAUGUUACUUUGAAAAAAUUAAAGUGCUUAAAGCAGGCUUAAUGCUUGUAUAAUGUUGCAUGGAAUAACAGAAUAGGACUUCAGUUUUAUUUUGUUGGUUUUCGAAUCUGAAGUAAUGAUUAACAGAGACUGCCGGGGGCAUUCGUAUGGCGGGGCUAGAGGUGAAAUUCAUGGACCCUCGCCAGACGUCCUACUGCGAAAGCAUUUGCCAAGAAUGUUUUCACUAAUCAAGAACGAAAGUCAGAGGUUCGAAGACGAUCAGAUACCGUCCUAGUUCUGACCAUAAAUGAUGCCAUCUGAUUAUCCGCUCGGUCGCAAGACCGACAUAGCGGGCAGCCCCCGGGAAACCAAAGAUUUUAGGCCCCGGGGGUAGUAUGGUUGCAAGACUGAAACUUAAAGAAAUUGACGGAAGGGCACCACCAGGAGUGGAGCCUGCGGCUUAAUUUGACUCAACACGGGGAAACUUACCAGGUCCAGACAUACUGAGGAUUGACAGAUUGAGAGCUCUUUCUUGAUUCUAUGGGUGGUGGUGCAUGGCCGUUC
rnacentral:rRNA from 1 species